GAUGAACGCUGGCGGCGUGCCUAAUACAUGCAAGUCGAGCGAACGGACGAGAAGCUUGCUUCUCUGAUGUUAGCGGCGGACGGGUGAGUAACACGUGGAUAACCUACCUAUAAGACUGGGAUAACUUCGGGAAACCGUAGCUAAUACCGGAUAAUAUUUUGAACCGCAUGGUUCAAAAGUGAAAGACGGUCUUGCUGUCACUUAUAGAUGGAUCCGCGCUGCAUUAGCUAGUUGGUAAGGUAACGGCUUACCAAGGCAACGAUGCAUAGCCGACCUGAGAGGGUGGUCGGACACACUGGAACUGAGACACGGUCCAGACUCCUACGGGAGGCAGCAGUAGGGAAUCUUCCGCGAUGGGCGAAAGCCUGACGGAGCAACGCCGCGUGAGUGAUGAAGGUCUUCGGAUCGUAAAACUCUGUUAUUAGGGAAGAACAUAUGUGUAAGUAACUGUGCACAUCUUGACGGUACCUAAUCAGAAAGCCACGGCUAACUACGUG
rnacentral:rRNA from 1 species